rnacentral:rRNA from 1 species
GAGCUAAUACCGUAUACGCCCUUCGGGGGAAAGAUUUAUCGGAAUUGGAUGAGCCCGCGUUGGAUUAGCUAGUUGGUGAGGUAAUGGCCCACCAAGGCGACGAUCCAUAGCUGGUCUGAGAGGAUGAUCAGCCACAUUGGGACUGAGACACGGCCCAAACUCCUACGGGAGGCAGCAGUGGGGAAUAUUGGACAAUGGGCGAAAGCCUGAUCCAGCCAUGCCGCGUGAGUGAUGACGGCCUUAGGGUUGUAAAGCUCUUUCACCGGUGAAGAUAAUGACGGUAACCGGAGAAGAAGCCCCGGCUAACUUCGUGCCAGCAGCCGCGGUAAUACGAAGGGGGCUAGCGUUGUUCGGAAUAACUGGGCGUAAAGCGCACGUAGGCGGACUUUUAAGUCAGGGGUGAAAUCCCGGGGCUCAACCCCGGAACGGCCUUUGAUACUGGCAGUCUGGAGUCCGGAAGAGGUGAGUGGAAUUGCGAGUGUAGAGGUGAAAUUCGUAGAUAUUCGCAGGAACACCAGUGGCGAAGGCGGCUCACUGGUCCGGUACUGACGCUGAGGUGCGAAAGCGUGGGGAGCAAACAGGAUUAGAUACCCUGGUAGUCCACGCCGUAAACGAUGGAAGCCAGCCGUCGGGCAGUUUACUGCUCGGUGGCGCAGCUAACGCA